UACGAAGGGGGCUAGCGUUACUCGGAUUGACUGGGCGUAAAGGGCGCGUAGGCGGCUUAUCAAGUCAGGCGUGAAAUUCCCGGGCUCAACCUGGGGGCUGCGCUUGAUACUGAUUGGCUUGAAUGCGGGAGAGGAUAGUGGAAUUCCCAGUGUAGAGGUGAAAUUCGUAGAUAUUGGGAAGAACACCGGUGGCGAAGGCGGCUAUCUGGCCCGUAAUUGACGCUGAGGCGCGAAAGCGUGGGGAGCAAACAGG
rnacentral:rRNA from 1 species